GAUUAUUUCUUUUUUGUCUUUUCGUCAUUUAAAAACCAUUUAUAAUUUCCAACUUCUUCCCUUUCAUCUCUCACACAUCUGCCCAGGCUAAACAUAUUAAUUCAUCUUUCUUUUUUUUUUUUCAUCUUCUUCGUUUGAUUUCUCUUCGAUAACUGUUAUCCUUUCGUGUUUUUUUUUUCCCCCCUCCCGCGAUAGUUGUACAACAAAUAUCAUUUAUUAUUCAUGAAUCGUAUGUGUGUAACGUUCGUCGCGAGAGGGUUGGGCGUUGAAACAUUACGUUAGCCACGAAGGCCGGACGACGAGCGAACCGAUAAGGAUCGUCUGCACCUGGAUAUUAUAGCUGAAUUAUUUAAUCGAUUCCCUCGCAGAUCAAUCAGGGCCAACGAUGUCGUUACCGAAGAGAGAAAAAAAAAAAAAAAAAACAAAGAAAAAUAAAAUAGCAAAAACGGAAUCGAAUUCACGUACGAAUAUCGUUCGUAAACCCGUACACUUGAAAUGUGUUGCAAUAUAACAACGUCAUAUAUAUACAUACAUUUAUCGGGAGAGUGAAAAAAAGAUAUUAUACAAAAAAAGGAAAAAUAAUCAGAAGGGGACUCUAGAGUCUGAUUACCGUGCAGGAUGAAAACUGCAGCGGAUACAAAACGUACAAAGUUUGUUAUAAAUUUACACCGUAUAUGAGUGUUAACCCUGCAGUGGAAUAACACAUGUUACAAUUUAUUUUUCUCCUCUUUCGUUCAACGAUAUUAAUUAAUGCGAUUGUGUGUGCGCCGUUUAAUUUCUUAUUAUUCUUACAUUAUCAUUAUUCUCUCUUUUUUGAAGUUUUUUUUUUUUUUUCUCUUUUUUUCUCUCUUUUUUCCAAGUCUCAUUAUACCGUAUCAGACAAUUGAACGCGUCCAACAGACUAGAAACAGACAUGGUUCGAUCAUCGCGCUGUACUGCUGUUGUAUCUUGUUCGUUAUUUCUUUUUUUUUUAUUAUUAUUCCAUAUCAUUUUUGUAUAUUCUCUUUUGUACAUCGCAUCACAUAUUAGCUGUUGCCAGCGAGCAACGUAUUAAAUGCAGAUGGAGAAUUUUAUACGAAGUCGGCUAUUUUAUUCCUGACAAUUAUUUAAUUGCAGUAACAGGUAAUCAUCGGAAUCGUCGUUAUCGGUCGACAUUUUACACAAAUGGGUGUACGUUAUAUUUUCUUUUUCAUUCUUUAUGCACAAACUGUAUGAAUUAUUCGUUCAUUUUUCACACAAACCCUGCAGUUUAAUAGGUUUUUAAUGAUCGAGUAAUAAGCUCGAUCGAUACUCGAAUGCACAUUCAUACAUCGUCGAUAAGGAGAGAAGAAAAAAAAAAAAAAAAAAAAAAAGAAGAAAAAAAAACUUCAUCUAUAUCUAUGUGGGUAAAGAAUUUUCUGUGCGAACGAUAUCGAUCUCUUUCUUUUACGAUGAUAAAGAGCGAGAUACGAAAGAUAACGCGAUCGUUGUUGCGGAUGAGGAGGGGGGAGGGGGGGGGGGGAAAAAAACCAAAAAUUUAUAAAAAAAAAUAAAAAAAGAAUGAAAAACUCGGUCGCAGGUAAAUUCUAAAAAUUACGUCAUAUCUCGUGUUUCGUGUAUACUUGUAUACGCGUACAUACGUUCGUCUAUGAUAGCCGAGAUAACAUCCCGUAUCUGAUACGAGGCGUAAUCCCGCGGAUAAUCCGGAAUGAAAAACUCCAUCGUCGAAACCUCGUGCUCGGAAUAUUUAUGAUUCAUCCACGUUAAAUAUCGGCCCCAAAAUCGAAUUGAAUCGUGGUAAGAAAA